GAUGAACGCUGGCGGCGUGCCUAAUACAUGCAAGUCGAGCGAACAGACGAGGAGCUUGCUCCUCUGACGUUAGCGGCGGACGGGUGAGUAACACGUGGAUAACCCACCUAUAAGACUGGGAUAACUUCGGGAAACCGGAGCUAAUACCGGAUAAUAUAUUGAACCGCAUGGUUCAAUAGUGAAAGACGGUUUUGCUGUCACUUAUAGAUGGAUCCGCGCCGCAUUAGCUAGUUGGUAAGGUAACGGCUUACCAGGGCAACGAUGCGUAGCCGACCUGAGAGGGUGAUCGGCCACACUGGAACUGAGACACGGUCCAGACUCCUACGGGAGGCAGCAGUAGGGAAUCUUCCGCAAUGGGCGAAAGCCUGACGGAGCAACGCCGCGUGAGUGAUGAAGGUCUUCGGAUCGUAAAACUCUGUUAUUGGGGAAGAACAAAUGUGUAAGUAACUAUGCACGUCUUGACGGUACCUAAUCAGAAAGCCACGGCUAACUACGUG
rnacentral:rRNA from 1 species